rnacentral:rRNA from 1 species
ACAGUGGACGCGAGCAUCUUUGUAGCAAGACAAGCUACUAAGGGCACAUGGUGGAUGCCUUGGCACCAAGAGCCGAUGAAGGACGUAGGAACCUGCGAUAAGCCCCGGGAAGUUGGUAACCAAGCUGUGAUCCGGGGAUUUCCGAAUGGGGAAACCCAGCUGGAGUCAUGUCCAGUUACCUCUGUCUGAACACAUAGGACAGUUGGAGGGAACACCGGGAAGUGAAACAUCUCAGUACCGGUAGGAAGAGAAAACAAAAGUGAUUCCGAGAGUAGUGGCGAGCGAAAUCGGAAGAGGCCAAACUCGUGCAGUGUGAUAGCCGGCAGGCGUUGCUGUUCGAGGGUUGUGGGGCCGUCACGUCGGAUCUGCCGAUCCGACACAGAGUUAGAAACCAUCGUUGAAGUCGAAAUGGAUUGGAAAGUCCUGGCGUAGAGGGUGAUACCCCCGUACACGUAAGACGAUGGCUCUGAGACGUCACCCCAAGUAACACGGAACCCCUGAAAUUCCGUGUGAAUCUGGCGGGACCACCCGUUAAGCCUAAAUACUCCUUGGUGACCGAUAGCGGACAAGUACCGUGAGGGAAAGGUGAAAAGUACCCCUGGCGGGGAGUGAAAUAGUACCUGAAACCAUGUGCCUACAAACCGUUGGAGCGGGGAUUCGUCCCUGUGACAGCGUGCCUUUUGAAGAAUGAGCCUGCGAGUUUGCGUUGUGUUGCGAGGUUAACCCGUGUGGGGAAGCCGUAGCGAAAGCGAGUCCGAAUAGGGCGUUUGAGUAGCACGAUCAAGACCCGAAGCGAAGUGAUCUAUCCAUGGGCAGGUUGAAGCGCGGGUAAGACCGCGUGGAGGACCGAACCCACUUAGGUUGAAAACUGAGGGGAUGACCUGUGGAUAGGGGUGAAAGGCCAAUCAAACUUCGUGAUAGCUGGUUCUCCCCGAAAUGCAUUUAGGUGCAGCGUCGCGUGUUUCUUGCUGGAGGUAGAGCACUGGAUAGCCGAUGGGCCCUACAAGGUUACUGACGUUAACCAAACUCCGAAUGCCAGUAAGUGAGAGCGCGGCAGUGAGACUGCGGGGGAUAAGCUCCGUAGUCGAGAGGGAAACAGCCCAGACCAUCAGCUAAGGUCCCUAAGCGAUAACUAAGUGGAAAAGGAUGUGGAGUCGCACAGACAACCAGGAGGUUGGCUUGGAAGCAGCCACCCUUGAAAGAGUGCGUAAUAGCUCACUGGUCAAGUGAUUCCGCGCCGACAAUGUAGCGGGGCUCAAGUUAUCCACCGAAGCUAUGGCAUUCAUGCGUAAGACAGGCCUUUGUGGUCCAGUUGCAUGGAUGGGUAGGGGAGCGUCGUGUGGGCAGUGAAGCGGCGGAGUGAUCCAGCCGUGGAGGCCACACGAGUGAGAAUGCAGGCAUGAGUAGCGAAUGACUGGCGAGAAACCAGUCCGCCGAAUGAUCAAGGGUUCCAGGGUCAAGCUAAUCUGCCCUGGGUAAGUCGGGACCUAAGGCGAGGCCGACAGGCGUAGUCGAUGGACAACGGGUUGAUAUUCCCGUACCGGCAAAAUAGCGCCCAUGACGAACCUAGUGAUGCUAAGUGCCCAAAACCACCGGGAUCCUUCGGGACGAUGGUGGCAGAGCGCACGACCCGAACUAGUAGUAGUCAAGCGAUGGGGUGACGCAGGAAGGUAGUCCAACCGUGGCGAUGGUUGCCCACGGCUAAGGGUGUAGGGCGAACGGUAGGCAAAUCCGCCGUUCAUGUGCCUGAGACCUGAUGGGGAGUCCGUAUGGACGAAGUGGAUGAUCCUAUGCUGUCGAGAAAAACCUCUAGCGAGCUAUGCGCCGCCCGUACCCCAAACCGACUCAGGUGAUCAGGUAGAGAAUNAGGGGGGCCGGAUUCGUGAUGGGACUUGCUCCCGGAAGCGAUGAAGGCCGCAGAGACCAGGCCCAAGCGACUGUUUACUAAAAACACAGGUCCGUGCGAAGUCGUAAGACGAUGUAUACGGACUGACUCCUGCCCGGUGCUGGAAGGUUAAGGGGACCUGUUAGAACUUCGGUUCGAAGCGGAGAACUUAAGCCCCAGUAAACGGCGGUGGUAACUAUAACCAUCCUAAGGUAGCGAAAUUCCUUGUCGGGUAAGUUCCGACCUGCACGAAUGGAGUAACGACUUGGGCGCUGUCUCAACCGUGGACUCGGCGAAAUUGCAGUACGAGUAAAGAUGCUCGUUACGCGCGGCAGGACGGAAAGACCCCGGGACCUUUACUAUAGUUUGGUAUUGGUGUUUGGUUCGGCUUGUGUAGGAUAGGUGGGAGACUGUGAAACGGCGACGCCAGUUGUCGUGGAGUCAACGUUGAAAUACCACUCUGGUCGUACUAGAUAUCUAACCUAGGUCCAUUAUCUGGAUCAGGGACAGUGCCUGAUGGGUAGUUUAACUGGGGCGGUUGCCUCCUAAAAUGUAACGGAGGCGCUCAAAGGUUCCCUCAGCCUGGUUGGCAAUCAGGUUUCGAGUGUAAGUGCACAAGGGAGCUUGACUGUGAGAGUGACAACUCGAGCAGGGACGAAAGUCGGAACUAGUGAUCCGGCGCUGGCAUGUGGAAGCGGCGUCGCUCAACGGAUAAAAGGUACCCCGGGGAUAACAGGCUGAUCUUCCCCAAGAGUCCAUAUCGACGGGAUGGUUUGGCACCUCGAUGUCGGCUCGUCGCAUCCUGGGGCUGGAGUAGGUCCCAAGGGUUGGGCUGUUCGCCCAUUAAAGCGGCACGCGAGCUGGGUUUAGAACGUCGUGAGACAGUUCGGUCCCUAUCCGCCGCGCGCGCAGGAAACUUGAGAAAGGCUGUCCCUAGUACGAGAGGACCGGGAUGGACGAACCUCUGGUGUGCCAGUUGUUCCGCCAGGAGCACGGCUGGUUAGCUACGUUCGGAAGUGAUAACCGCUGAAUGCAUCUAAGCGGGAAGCACGUUUCAAGAUGAGGUUUCCCACCGGGUUAACCGGGUAAGGUCCCCAGUAGACUACUGGGUUGAUAGGCCGGAGGUGUACAGCAGCAAUGCCUAGCCGACCGGUACUAAUAGACCGAGGGCUUGUCCCUCAA